AUUGAACGCUGGCGGAAUGCUUUACACAUGCAAGUCGAACGAUGAACCUUAGCUUGCUAAGGGGAUUAGUGGCGAACGGGUGAGUAAUGUAUCGGAACGUAUCCGAUAAUGGGGGAUAACUAGUCGAAAGAUUAGCUAAUACCGCAUACGUCCUACGGGAGAAAGCUAGGGACCUUCGGGCCUGGCGUUAAUGGAGCGGCCGAUAUCUGAUUAGCUAGUUGGUGGGGUAAAGGCUCACCAAGGCGACGAUCAGUAGCUGGUCUGAGAGGACGACCAGCCACACUGGAACUGAGACACGGUCCAGACUCCUACGGGAGGCAGCAGUGGGGAAUUUUGGACAAUGGGCGAAAGCCUGAUUCAGCCAUUCCGCGUGAGUGAAGAAGGCCUUCGGGUUGUAAAGCUCUUUCGCAAGGGAAGAAAACUUAAGCUCUAACAUAGCUUGAGGUUGACGGUACCUUGAUAAGAAGCACCGGCUAACUACGUGCCAGCAGCCGCAGUAA
rnacentral:rRNA from 1 species